UACGUAGGGGGCAAGCGUUGUCCGGAAUCAUUGGGCGUAAAGAGCGUGUAGGCGGCCAGAAAAGUCCGCUGUGAAAACUCGAGGCUCAACUUCGAGCUGUCGGUGGAAACUUUUUGGCUAGAGUCCGGAAGAGGAGAAUGGAAUUCCUGGUGUAGCGGUGAAAUGCGCAGAUAUCAGGAAGAACACCCGUGGCGAAGGCGGUUCUCUGGGACGGUACUGACGCUGAGACGCGAAAGCGUGGGGAGCGAACAGG
rnacentral:rRNA from 1 species